GGCCUCUAGCAAACACUUCAUGUAUUAGAGGUACUGCCUGCCCAGUGAAAAUUAUUUUAACGGCCGCGGUAUUCUGACCGUGCAAAGGUAGCAUAAUCACUUGUCUUUUAAAUAAAGACCUGUAUGAACGGCAACACGAAGGCUUAACUGUCUCCUUUAUCUAAUCAGUGAAACUAGUUAUCCUGUACAAAAACAGGAAUACUCACACAAGACGAGAAGACCCUAUGGAGCUUUAAACGCACAGCCAACCUAACACACUUAACCAGUUAUUUGGCCUGUCGUUUUCGGUUGGGGCGACCACGGAGAACAAUACAUCCUCCGAGUACAUAUUAAUACAAUUAAUUAAACUAAGAACCACAUCACAAGGCACCAGAAAUUCUGAUUUAUUGACCCAAGAUUUGAUCAACGAACCAAGUUACCCUAGGGAUAACAGCGCAAUCCUAUUAGAGAGUCCAUAUCGAUAAUGGGGUUUACGACCUCGAUGUUGGAUCAGGAUCCCCAAACAGUGCAGCAGCUGUUAAAGGUUCUUUGUUCAACGAUUAAAAUCCU
rnacentral:rRNA from 1 species